GUGAAGGAGAGAGAGAGGGAAAGUGACUGAGGGGGAGAAAGAGGGGGAGAGAAAGAGGUAGAGAGAGAGAGAGAGAGAGAGAUAGAGAGAGAGAGGGGAGUGAGAGAGAGAGAGAGCGAGUGAGGGAGGGGUAGAGAGGGUAGUGGAGUAGGAGCGGCAGUUCGUAAGCACCUAGAGCAGGAGCGAGGAUACAGCGCGUGCGUGUGCGGAGUGUGGAUACAGCGCGAGGACCGGAGAGAGCGGUGGAGUACAGUGGAAAGAGAGAUAGAGAGAAAGAAAGAGAGAGAGAGAGUGAGUGGAUAAAAAGAGAGACUCUGUCACAUUCCUGGUUGAUGUGGAUGAUGGCGCGCGCGUGCUGCUGGAGCCGGGCUCGCGCGCUGUAGUGUGUGUGUGUAUCGGAUGCGCUGUCUCCUCCGCGGCUCUUCUUCCUCAGCGCGCUUUUGUUCUCGGGGUCUCGGGAUCUGUGCAGCGGGAUACAGCGGGCUGAUGGCCGCGGGUUGGCGCCGCUCGGCCGCGGGGCUGCUGGGAGUUUGGCUGCUGGCUCUGUUGGGGUUCCCACUGGUCCUUAAAAAGUCUUGGAGAAAACAUGGAGAGAACUAAGAACAGUGAUUAUGCCACAUCCAGAGACACAUAGAGAGCGAGAGAGGAAAGGAGGGGGAUUGAAAGAAAGCGAGAUGAACAAAAGGAAGCAGAAGAAAGAGAUAAGAUGGAUACAGAGACAGAAAGAGACACUCUUUCUGGGAUGCUCUGCAUAUGAGAGCAUGCUGGUAAAGGAGCAUCUGCUGCUCACAGCAUAAUAAAUACUUCACUAUUCCACGAAGUUGCA
rnacentral:lncRNA from 1 species